rnacentral:rRNA from 1 species
AUACAGAGGGUGCAAGCGUUAAUCGGAUUUACUGGGCGUAAAGCGUGCGUAGGCGGCUAAUUAAGUCAAAUGUGAAAUCCCCGAGCUUAACUUGGGAAUUGCAUUCGAUACUGGUUAGCUAGAGUAUGGGAGAGGAUGGUAGAAUUCCAGGUGUAGCGGUGAAAUGCGUAGAGAUCUGGAGGAAUACCGAUGGCGAAGGCAGCCAUCUGGCCUAAUACUGACACUGAGGCACGAAAGCGUGGGGAGC